AUGAAUGCUGGGCGGCGUGCCUAACACAUGCAAGUCGAGCGGCAGCGAGUUUUACACUGAAUUCUGGAAGCUUCUGGGUAAUGUAGAAGAUUUAUUCAAGAAUUUUGUGUAAAAUGUCGGCGAGCGGCGGACGGCUGAGUAACGCGUAGGAAUUUGCCCCAAAGUGAGGAAUAACUGCCCGAAAGGGUAGCUAAUGCCGCAUAUGGUCUUCGGAUUAAAGCCUUCGGGCGCUUUGGGAGAAGCCUGCGUUGGAUUAGGUAGUUGGUAGGGUAAUGGCCUACCAAGCCGACGAUCCAUAGCUGGUCUGAGAGGAUGAUCAGCCAGACUGGAACUGAGACACGGUCCAGACUCCUACGGGAGGCAGCAGUGAGGAAUCUUCCACAAUGGGCGAAAGCCUGAUGGAGCAACGCCGCGUGAAGGAUGAAGGCCUUCGGGUUGUAAACUUCUUUUAUGAGUGAAGAAUAUGACGGUAACUCAUGAAUAAGCACCGGCUAACUACGUGCCAGCAGCCGCGGUCAUACGUAGGGUGCAAGCAUUAUCCGGAGUGACUGGGCGUAAAGAGUUGCGUAGGCGGUUUAAUAAGUGAAUAGUGAAACCUGGUGGCUCAACCAUACAGACUAUUAUUCAAACUGUUAAACUCGAGAAUGGUAGAGGUAACUGGAAUUUCUAGUGUAGGAGUGAAAUCCGUAGAUAUUAGAAAGGAACACCGAUGGCGUAGGCAGGUUACUGGGCCAUUUCUGACGCUAAGGCACGAAAGCGUGGGGAGCGAACCGGAUUAGAUACCCGGGUAGUCCACGCCGUAAACGAUGGAUACUAGCUGUUGGAGGUAUCGACCCCUUCAGUAGCGAAGCUAACGCGUUAAGUAUCCCGCCUGUGGAGUACGGCCGCAAGGCUAAAACAUAAAGGAAUUGACGGGGACCCGCACAAGCGGUGGAUUAUGUUCUUUAAUUCGAUGAUAACCGAAGAACCUUACCAGGACUUGACAUCCAGGGAAGGUCUGCGAAAGUAGACUGUGCCUUUUGGAACCCUGUGACAGGUGAUGCAUGGCCGUCGUCAGCUCGUGUCGUGAGAUGUUAGGUUAAGUCCUUCAACGAGCGCAACCCUUGUGAAUAGUUGUAUUUUUCUAUUCAGACUGCCCCGGUAACGGGGAGGAAGGAGGGGAUGAUGUCAGGUCAGUAUUUCCCUUACGUCCUGGGCUAGAAACGUAAUACAAUGGCUAGUACAAUGCGCAGCGAAGCCGCGAGGUGAAGCAAAUCGCAUCAAAGCUAGUCCCAGUUCGGAUUGUAGGCUGAAACUCGCCUGCAUGAAGUCGGAAUCGCUAGUAAUCGCAAAUCAGCAAGUUGCGGUGAAUACGUUCCCGGGUCUUGUACACACCG
rnacentral:rRNA from 1 species